ensembl:lncRNA
ACAGAGCCUCAGGUUGGUGGGGAAGACUGACGCAUAAGUGGGUCUUUAUGACACGGACUGAGUGCAUCUAUGAAAGGGGAAAUGCUCCAGCCUGGAUGGCAGUAGUCAGGGAAGGCUUCCUGGAGGAGGUGGUCAGCCACCUAGGCAGGAGGAUGUUUUAGAUGGAGGGGACAGCCUGGGCAAAGGCCUGGAGGCCAGAGACACAGCUGGGUGGAUGUGCAGUCCACCCAGCAGGUCUCCUGGGCAACCCACCCUGACGUCAUUGGCAGCUCUGGCAGCUGGCCCAGGAGCUGAAGCAGCUGGUGGCCAGAUCAUGUUUCCAGGGAUCCUGAGAAGUUUCCUGGAAAGCAGGCUCCUCAACUUGCUGUGUGAUGGACAUAUGACAACUGAGGGAAAUGUCCCUCCCAGGGCUCAAUUUCUCCAGCUGUAAAAUGGACUGCUAAAUGGGCCAACCUGCAGGCAGGCUAUCAGGCAGAAGCAAUGAGAGCUUAUUAAACUGCUUCGAAAGUAAAAGGCAAGGUGUGUAGUUUGAUGGAAUCAAAAUUUGGACCUCAGGUGAUACUGUGCCUGUUUCCCCAUCCGUCCAUUAAGUGGCAGGGAGGGGGUGCCAGUGCCUACUCCCCGCGUGCCUGGUGAGGAUCUCCUGCGGUGAAACUUACAAUAAGCUCAGCGCCGGGCCUGGUUAUGGAGUUAGUGCUCCACACCUCUCAACUGGAAUGCCAAAAGUCUGCCACUGCCAACAGCAAGAGCUGGGGCGAAAACACUCUGGAAUGUUACUUCACGUCUCUUGGCCUCAAUUUCCUCUGGGAUCUUCCCGACCCAGGGAUCGAACCCAGGUCUCCCGAAUUGCAGACGCUUCAACCUCUGAGCCACCAGGGAAGCCCAGGUGCUACCGAAUAGGUGCUCAAUAAAAUGAUACUGAUUUUUC